rnacentral:lncRNA from 1 species
AACCCACCAGCUAACCGUGGCUUCCGGAAUGAGCCAGGAACCUGUCUCGGCUUGAGACAGUGCCCAGAUCACACGUCCAUGCUCUUGGCAAGCAGCUGUUGGAGUCAACAACCUCAGUCACAGCACUGACAUUCUAGACUCCAGCUUCGCUAUGGUAACGUCUGUGAGGUCUCCAGUCUAUCUGUCAUCCUCCCAACCCAAUCCAUCCCUGCACGGAAGAACAGAGACCUGAUUCAGUCCAAGACUGUCACACGUAUGCCAAAGUCAUUGAAGAAUGGCUGGCCAUAUCCACUCAGCUAGUGGAUUCCUGACUGCAGCCUAUAAAAGGGGCAAAGCACCCGUUCGCUACUGGACCUCUUCUCUCUUCCCCUACCUGCAGAACUACUGGAUAUCUUCCUUCUUCUGUGCCUUCCUUGCCAGGAGAGACUGAGUGCUUUAAAACCAUGUUCAAAACGAAGUCCUUGUUUCUGUUGGUGGGGGGCGGGGGUCACAGUGAUACAAUGUAACCAGUACAGUCAGGAUAGCAGACAUACUUUCGGGAGAAAUAAUCAGAGCCAAGACAUUUACCUC